GGGAAAAAUUGGAGAAAUUGUUAAGAAACCAAAAUCCAUGGUUCAGUAUAUUAUAAACAGAUACAAAGAAUUUAAAUCUUUUGCAAGUAGGUGUUCUGGGAGGCCUGAGAAGCUAAGUCGUCCACACAAAAGAGUUGUACUGAGAAGAGUUCAUGAGAAUCCUAGAGUUAGUGCUCCAAACUUGCUGCUUCAUUGCAAACUGAUUACAGGAAUACCUCACUUAAUACAGUUAAUUGGUUUCUCUAAAAUACCUCGUUAAAUGAAUCCGCACUGAGUGAAACAUUAUUUUUAUAGGAAAAUAAGUAAUUUGUUCCUCUCAAAUUUUGUUA
rnacentral:lncRNA from 1 species